AUCUAGCUGACGAGUCCCAACUAGGACGAAAACGUGUGUCCUGAAU
rnacentral:hammerhead_ribozyme from 1 species